AUCGAUGGGGAUGCGUUCCAUUAGCUUGUUGGCGGGGUAACGGCCCACCAAGGCAUCGAUGGAUAGGGGUUCUGAGAGGAAGGUCCCCCACAUUGGAACUGAGACACGGUCCAAACUCCUACGGGAGGCAGCAGUGAGGAAUAUUGGUCAAUGGGCGCUAGCCUGAACCAGCCAAGUAGCGUGAAGGAUGACUGCCCUAUGGGUUGUAAACUUCUUUUAUAUGGGAAUAAAGUGCAGUAUGUAUACUGCUUUGCAUGUGCCUUAUGAAUAAGGAUCGGCUAACUCCGUGCCAGCAGCCGCGGUAAUACGGAGGAUCCGAGCGUUAUCCGGAUUUAUUGGGUUUAAAGGGAGCGUAGGCGGGUUGUUAAGUCAGUUGUGAAAGUUUGCGGCUCAACCGUAAAAUUGCAGUUGAUACUGGCAUCCUUGAGUACAGUAGAGGUAGGCGGAAUUCGUGGUGUAGCGGUGAAAUGCUUAGAUAUCACGAAGAACUCCGAUUGCGAAGGCAGCCUGCUGGACUGUAACUGACGCUGAUGCUCGAAAGUGUGGGUAUCAAACAGGAUUAGAUACCCUGGUAGUCCACACAGUAAACGAUGAAUACUCGCUGUU
rnacentral:rRNA from 1 species